rnacentral:rRNA from 1 species
GGCGCACGGGUGCGUAACGCGUAUGCAACCUACCUUUUACUGGGGUAUAGCCCGAAGAAAUUCGGAUUAAUCCCCCAUAGCACUGAUAAUUCUCAUGAUGAAUCAGUUAAAGUUUCGGCGGUAAAAGAUGGGCAUGCGUCCUAUUAGCUAGAUGGUGAGGUAAUGGCUCACCAUGGCUACGAUAGGUAGGGGGCCUGAGAGGGUGGUCCCCCACACUGGUACUGAGACACGGACCAGACUCCUACGGGAGGCAGCAGUGAGGAAUAUUGGUCAAUGGGCGCAAGCCUGAACCAGCCAUGCCGCGUGCAGGAAGAAUGUCCUAUGGAUUGUAAACUGCUUUUAUUUGGGAAUAAACCCCCCGACGUGUCGGGGUCUGAAGGUACCAAAUGAAUAAGCACCGGCUAACUCCGUGCCAGCAGCCGCGGUAAUACGGAGGGUGCAAGCGUUAUCCGGAAUCAUUGGGUUUAAAGGGUCCGCAGGCGGGCAUAUAAGUCAGUGGUGAAAGCCUACAGCUCAACUGUAGAACUGCCAUUGAUACUGUAAGUCUUGAAUUCGGUCGAAGUGGGCGGAAUGUGUAGUGUAGCGGUGAAAUGCAUAGAUAUUACACAGAACACCGAUAGCGAAGGCAGCUCACUAGGCCUGGAUUGACGCUCAGGGACGAAAGCGUGGGGAUCAAACAGGAUUAGAUACCCUGGUAGUCCACGCUGUAAACGAUGAUUACUCGUUUUCGGCGAUAUACAGUCGGAGACUAAGCGAAAGUGAUAAGUAAUCCACCUGGGGAGUACGAUCGCAAGGUUGAAACUCAAAGGAAUUGACGGGGGCCCGCACAAG